GCAUAACGCGAAGAACCUUACCCACCUUUGACAUGUACGGAAUCCUUUAGAGAUAGAGGAGUGCUCGAAAGAGAGCCGUAACACAGGUGCUGCAUGGCUGUCGUCAGCUCGUGUCGUGAGAUGUUGGGUUAAGUCCCGCAACGAGCGCAACCCUUGCCAUUAGUUGCUACGAAAGGGCACUCUAAUGGGACUGCCGGUGACAAACCGGAGGAAGGUGGGGAUGACGUCAAGUCCUCAUGGCCCUUAUAGGUGGGGCUACACACGUCAUACAAUGGCUGGUACAAAGGGUUGCCAACCCGCGAGGGGGAGCUAAUCCCAUAAAGCCAGUCGUAGUCCGGAUUGCAGUCUGCAACUCGACUGCGUGAAGUCGGAAUCGCUAGUAAUCGUGGAUCAGAAUGUCACGGUGAAUACGUUCCCGGGUCUUGUACACACCG
rnacentral:rRNA from 1 species